CCUUGCUUGAUGUCGGAGCCUAACCUCGGGUUCCGACCUGCGGGUGACGGACGCAGGCGCUGAGUACUUUGCGUUAGGUUUUCCUCGCCUUAAGAUGGCCGCUAAACCUGACACUUGGGUCUGGAGUUUCCCUUCCCCUUCAUGCUGAGAGUGUGGGGAGUGGAUGGGUGCGCUUGAGGCCUCCAGAACCCAAGCAGCGACCGAAGCUGUUGGAGGAACCUGAGAGAGUCUUUCAGAAAAGUGUAAAAGACACACACACAAAAAGGGCUCCAGGGCCAGGCGAGAGCUUUCUGGGCAGAAGUGCGCCGAUUAGGGAGAAGGGGAUGUGAGGAUGGAGAGCAACACUUCUAGACUGGGGUGAGCUGGGUAAGUGGCUAAGGACCCUUGACCUCGCCGCACCCCGGCAUGUGUGACUGCGCCCUGGGCCCC
rnacentral:lncRNA from 1 species